rnacentral:tRNA from 1 species
GCCUGCUUAGCUCAGCUGGUUAGAGCAUCUGUCUCAUACACAGAGUGUCACUAGUUCGAAUCUAGUAGCAGGCA